rnacentral:lncRNA from 1 species
CUCCCCCCUUCUUCUUAACUUCUUAGGUCUAUUAGGAGAUCUCUUAAGUAUAGAUGUAGCUAGUAGCUUAAAUUGAUAGGACUCACAUGAUAGUAUUUCAGGUAUAGGAUUGAUAGUUGCCUUGUAUGUCUCAUGAAUAUGUCCUUGGAGUAGCAAUGAUCUACAUAAUGCUCAAUUUCUCUCCAAAAAAAUAUAACUGCUGCCGCUAUAUGAUAGCAUAGUAUACUAGUC